CAAUAGCGUAUAUUUAAGUUGUUGCAGUUAAAAAGCUCGUAGUUGGAUUUCGGAUGGGACUUGCCGGUCCGUCGUUUCGAUGUGCACUGGCCAGUCCUAUCUUGUUGUCGGGGACUAGCUCCUGGGCUUCACUGUCCGGGACUAGGAGCUGACGAGGUUACUUUGAGUAAAUUAGAGUGUUCAAAGCAAGCCUACGCUCUGAAUACAUUAGCAUGGAAUAACACGAUAGGACUCUGGCUUAUCUUGUUGGUCUGUGAGACCAGAGUAAUGAUUAAGAGGGACAGUCGGGGGCAUUCGUAUUUCAUUGUCAGAGGUGAAAUUCUUGGAUUUAUGAAAGACGAACUUCUGCGAAAGCAUUUGCCAAGGAUGUUUNCAUUAA
rnacentral:rRNA from 1 species